UCUGAAGUUUCUAGUUGAGACAGAACCAACCAUAUCCACACUACAAAACUCAGUUACUUAUAGGAACAAGCAAAAUAAGCAUCUAGGCUAGACUGAUAAUAAAAAACCAUAUUUUUCCAGGGCUAAAAAUUAUAUUCUUAAUGUAUUAAAUUGGCAUUAAAAAGGUAGACGAACCAUUCACAUUUACAUUGCAAUAAAGGACAA